rnacentral:tRNA from 1 species
GGAGAGGUGGCCGAGUGGUUGAAGGCGGCUGACUCGAAAUCAGCUGAAGGCAAUUUUGCCUUCCGCAGGUUCGAAUCCUGUCCUCUCCG